UACGGAGGGUGCAAGCGUUGCUCGGAAUUAUUGGGCGUAAAGGGUAGGUAGGUGGUCUUAUUUGUCUGGGGUGAAAGCCUCGAGCUUAACUCGAGAAGUGCCUUAGAAACGGUAAGACUAGAGUCCUGGAGAGGGUCGUGGAAUUCCCGGUGUAGCGGUGAAAUGCGUAGAGAUCGGGAGGAACACCAGAGGCGAAGGCGGCGACCUGGACAGGAACUGACACUAAACUACGAAAGCGUGGGGAGCAAACAGG
rnacentral:rRNA from 1 species